GUUAGGGUUACAUUCCGUCUGUAGUCCAUUGCUACUGGAUAAUAGGUUGGGUGUAAUUGGCUACCAAAUUGGGAGAAAGGGGGAUCAAAUCUGAUACAAAUUUAUGAAAAAGGAAAUGUGGAAACAUAAGGCCUAAUUUUGAUAAAAAUCUUAGAAAUUUUUUUUUGAAAUGUGGGAACAUAGGGCCUAAUUUUGGA